UGGGGAAUCUUGGACAAUGGGGGAAACCCUGAUCCAGCAAUACCGUGUGGGUGAAGAAGGCCUGAGGGUUGUAAAGCCCUUUUAGUGACGAGGAAGGUUUAUUGGGUAAUAUCCAGUAAAAUUGACGUUAGUCACAGAAAAAGCACCGGCUAACUCUGUGCCAGCAGCCGCGGUAAUACAGAGGGUGCGAGCGUUAAUCGGAAUUACUGGGCGUAAAGGGUGCGUAGGUGGUUACGUAAGUUAGGUGUGAAAUCCCCGGGCUCAACCUGGGAACUGCGCUUAAUACUGCGAAACUAGAGUGUUGUAGAGGUAAGUGGAAUUUCCGGUGUAGCGGUGAAAUGCGUAGAUAUCGGAAGGAACACCAGUGGCGAAGGCGACUUACUGGGCAAUAACUGACACUGAGGCACGAAAGCGUGGGGAGCAAACAG
rnacentral:rRNA from 1 species